rnacentral:rRNA from 1 species
GUCGAGCGAAUGGAUUAAGAGCUUGCUCUUAUGAAGUUAGCGGCGGACGGGUGAGUAACACGUGGGUAACCUGCCCAUAAGACUGGGAUAACUCCGGGAAACCGGGGCUAAUACCGGAUAAUAUUUUGAACUGCAUGGUUCGAAAUUGAAAGGCGGCUUCGGCUGUCACUUAUGGAUGGACCCGCGUCGCAUUAGCUAGUUGGUGAGGUAACGGCUCACCAAGGCAACGAUGCGUAGCCGACCUGAGAGGGUGAUCGGCCACACUGGGACUGAGACACGGCCCAGACUCCUACGGGAGGCAGCAGUAGGGAAUCUUCCGCAAUGGACGAAAGUCUGACGGAGCAACGCCGCGUGAGUGAUGAAGGCUUUCGGGUCGUAAAACUCUGUUGUUAGGGAAGAACAAGUGCUAGUUGAAUAAGCUGGCACCUUGACGGUACCUAACCAGAAAGCCACGGCUAACUACGUGCCAGCAGCCGCGGUAAUACGUAGGUGGCAAGCGUUAUCCGGAAUUAUUGGGCGUAAAGCGCGCGCAGGUGGUUUCUUAAGUCUGAUGUGAAAGCCCACGGCUCAACCGUGGAGGGUCAUUGGAAA